rnacentral:rRNA from 1 species
GGACUACACGGGUAUCUAAUCCCGUUCGCUCCCCUAGCUUUCGCGCCUCAGCGUCAGUCGCAGGCCAGGACGCCGCCUUCGCCACUGGUGUUCCUCCGGGUCUCUACGCAUUUCACCGCUACUCCCGGAGUUCCACGUCCCUCUCCUGCACUCAAGUAGCACGACCGUUACCGGUGACCCUCCCCAGUUGAGCCGGGGGCUUUCACACCGGUCGUAUCGCGCCGCCUACGCGCGCUUUACGCCCAGUAAUUCCGGACAACGCUCGCCUCCUACGUAUUACCGCGGCGGCUGGCAC